AAAUUGAAGAGUUUGAUCAUGGCUCAGAUUGAACGCUGGCGGCAGGCCUAACACAUGCAAGUCGAACGGUAACAGGAAACAGCUUGCUGUUUCGCUGACGAGUGGCGGACGGGUGAGUAAUGUCU
rnacentral:rRNA from 1 species